rnacentral:lncRNA from 1 species
UCAUUUCCCCUAGGCUAGUGACUGUUCUAAACAGAAUCAUAAGAUCUGACUGUGACCAAUAAUGGAGAACUUGCACUUGCAAAGAAAUGGUUGUGGAGAAGCUUCCCAUUUCUAUAUCUGGACACAACUAUGUGAGGAGGUGAUGCUGGAACAGGCCUACUGUCUGAAGUUCACAGGCUGAGGAUGACAGGAAAAAAUAAAAGAUUUAACUAACCUGG